rnacentral:rRNA from 1 species
GCACAAUUGGGCGCAAGCCUGAUGCAGCGACGCCGCGUGGGGGAUGACGGCCUUCGGGUUGUAAACCUCUUUCACCAUCGACGAAGGUCCGGGUUUUCUCGGAUUGACGGUAGGUGGAGAAGAAGCACCGGCCAACUACGUGCCAGCAGCCGCGGUAAUACGUAGGGUGCGAGCGUUGUCCGGAAUUACUGGGCGUAAAGAGCUCGUAGGUGGUUUGUCGCGUUGUUCGUGAAAUCUCACGGCUUAACUGUGAGCGUGCGGGCGAUACGGGCAGACUAGAGUACUGCAGGGGAGACUGGAAUUCCUGGUGUAGCGGUGGAAUGCGCAGAUAUCAGGAGGAACACCGGUGGCGAAGGCGGGUCUCUGGGCAGUAACUGACGCUGAGGAGCGAAAGCGUGGGGAGCGAACAGGAUUAGAUACCCUGGUAGUCCACGCCGUAAACGGUGGGUACUAGGUGUGGGUUUCCUUCCUUGGGAUCCGUGCCGUAGCUAACGCAUUAAGUACCCCGCCUGGGGAGUACGGCCGCAAGGCUAAAACUCAAGAAA